AUUGAACGCUGGCGGCAGGCCUAACACAUGCAAGUCGAACGAGUGGCGGACGGGUGAGUAAUUUCUGGGAAACCGCAUGAUGGAGGGGGAUAACUCCUGGCAAAGGUAGCUAAUACAGCAUACCAUCAGCGGUGCCCCGAUGGGAUUAGCUAGUUGGUGGGGUAACGGCUCACCAAGGCGACGAUCCCUAGCUGGUCUGAUAGGAUGACCAGCCACACUGGAACUUAGACACGGUCCAGACGCCGACGGGAGGCAGCCGUGGGGAAUAUUGCACAAUGGGCGCAAGCCUGAUGCAGCCAUGCCGCGUGUAUGAAGAAGGCCUUCGGGUUGUAAAGUACUUUCAGCGGGGAGGCGUUACCCGCAGAAGAAGCACCGGCUAACUCCGUGCCAGCAGCCGCGGUAAUUC
rnacentral:rRNA from 1 species